rnacentral:rRNA from 1 species
CGGUUGUUAACGUAGCUUCCUCUUAAGGUACCGUCCUAUCUGUGGGGGUUGGCCAUGUUUUUCUUCUUCCCAUAUACCUUAGCUUUACGACACGGUGGCCGUCUUGGCUCCGGCGGUGUUGCUCGGUUAGGCUUUUGCCAUUGGGGAAGAUUCGCUGCCGCUGGUAGGCCCCCCGUGCCCGUGCCCCCGCCCCGGAGAUGCGCGGAGGGGGGAGGGUGCUGGUGAAGCCGGAGGACCGGCCGAAGAAACAGCUCAACGACCUCGACCUGCCCAACCUGUUCUCGGUGACCCUGCGCGACGCCGGGCAGAUCGCCCUGGUCGACGGCGACACAAGAAGAUCGUCAAGGUCAUCGAUACCGGCUAUGCCGUGCAUAUCUCGCGGAUGUCCGCUUCCGGCCGCUAUCUGCUGGUGAUCGGCCGCACACGCAGAUCUCAUGAUCGACCUGUGGGCCAGGACCGACCAAGGUCCCCAGAUCAAAUCGGCAUCAGGCCCGCUCGGUGGAAACCUCCAAGUUCAAGGGCUACGAGAAUCGCUCCCCUUCGCCCGCCCCACUGGCCCGCCGAAUUCAAUCAUGGACGGCAAGACCUG